UCACGUUAUUAAUGCCAUACUGAACC
rnacentral:sRNA from 1 species